rnacentral:rRNA from 1 species
UACGAAGGGGGCUAGCGUUGCUCGGAAUCACUGGGCGUAAAGCGCACGUAGGCGGCUUCUUAAGUCAGGGGUGAAAUCCUGGAGCUCAACUCCAGAACUGCCUUUGAUACUGAGGAGCUCGAGUCCGGGAGAGGUGAGUGGAACUCCGAGUGUAGAGGUGAAAUUCGUAGAUAUUCGGAAGAACACCAGUGGCGAAGGCGGCUCACUGGCCCGGUACCGACGCUGAGGUGCGAAAGCGUGGGGAGCAAACAGG